rnacentral:rRNA from 1 species
AGAGUUUGAUCCUGGCUCAGAUUGAACGCUGGCGGCAGGCUUAACACAUGCAAGUCGAGCGGUAACAUUUCUAGCUUGCUAGAAGAUGACGAGCGGCGGACGGGUGAGUAAUGCUUGGGAAUAUGCCUUUACGUGGGGGACAACAGUUGGAAACGACUGCUAAUACCGCAUAAUGUCUUCGGACCAAAGGAGGGGACUCUUCGGAGCCUUUCGCGUAAAGAUUAGCCCAAGUGGGAUUAGCUAGUUGGUGGGGUAAUGGCUCACCAAGGCGACGAUCCCUAGCUGGCUUGAGAGGAUGAUCAGCCACACUGGGACUGAGACACGGCCCAGACUCCUACGGGAGGCAGCAGUGGGGAAUAUUGCACAAUGGGCGAAAGCCUGAUGCACCAUGCCGCGUGUGUGAAGAAGGCUUCGGGUUGUAAAGCACUUUCAGUCGUGANGAANGGGUAAGUAAUUAAUACUUUGCUAUCUUUGACCGUUAGCGACAAGAAGAAGGACCGGCUAACUCCGUGCCAACAANCCGGGGGAAUACCGGAGGGUCCGAGCCGUUAAUCGGAAUUACUGGGCCGUAAAAGCGUACCCNAGCCGGGUUUGUUAAACCNAAAUGUGAAAAUCCCCCGGGCUUCAACCCUGGGAAAUGGCAUUUUGGAACUUGG